rnacentral:rRNA from 1 species
GUGGGGAUUAUUGGACAAUGGGCUAAAACGUGAUCCAGCCAUGCCGCGUGUGUGAAGAAGGUCUUCUGUUUUUAAAGCACUUUAACUUGGAGAAGUGCAGUUACAGUAAUACGUAAUGGUUUGACGUACGACAGAAAGACAAGCCG